ACACACACAGAACACAUACAUAUACAGACACACACAAAUAUACAGACACAAAGAGAUACACAUACACACACAAAACACACACAUACAUACACAGACACACACAAAUAUACAGACACACACAGAGACACACAGAGAUACACACACAAACAUACACACACAGACACACACAAAUAUAGACACACACAGAGAUACACAAACAUACACACAGAACACACACAGAGAUACACAAACACACACACAGAACACACACAUACACAGGCACACACAAAUAUACAGACACACACAGAGAGACACACAGAGAUACACAUACACACACAGCACACACACAUACACAGACAGACACAGAGAGACACACAGAGAUACAUGGACAUACACACACACACACACCCAUACACAGAUACACACAAAUAUACAGAUACAUAGAGAGACACACAGAGAUACUCACACAAACAUACACACACACAUACAUACUCAGACACAAAGAUACAGAUACACACAGAGAGACACAGAGAACACACACAUACAUAGACACACACAAAUAUACAGACACACACAGAGAGACACACAGAGAUACUCACACAAACAUACACACAGAACACACACAUACAUACACACACAAAUAUACAGAUACACACAGACAGACACACAGAGAUACACACACACACAGAACACACACACAUACACAGAUACAAAUAUACAGACACACACAGACACAGAUACACAAACAUACACACAUGCACAGAACACACACAGACACACAUACACAGACAUGCAGAUACACACACACAUUGACACACAUACAAACACACACAGUAGCGCACACACACAGACACAGACACAGCCAGACACACACAGAGACACAGAGAUGCACCACACUGAAUCCUGUAGGAAGAGCCCAAAUGCCCGUCACAGGCCAAGCUCAGUUCCCUGACAUCUCCAGAUCCAGCAAAGACCACAUCCUCAUCUGCAUAUGCAGCUAACAAAAUACCAACGCUGCACAAGUGAUAAAGAGCAAACAUUUAUUUCCUCCCCAUUCCAGAGGCUGAGAAGUCCAGGGUCCAGGCACCAGCAGGUUUGGUGUCUGCGAGGGCCGCUCUCUGCUCCCAGGACGGCACCUUGUGCUGCCACCUCUGGGGUGGAAGGUGAGGGACAGGUGCGGAACAGGCGCUGUGUGAGCCUCCUUCACGAGAGCCUUGAUUCCCUCAGGAGGAGCAGCCCUCACGGCCUCACCAGCUCUUGGUGGCCCCACCUCUUUGCACCAUCCCUUUGGCCAUUAUGUCUCAACCCCUGGGGUCAGACUCAGACUUGAUGCCCAAGAUCUGACCAGGAGCCAUGGGGUGCUGGCACCGUCCCAGGCUCUGGCAUUACAGGGCAGACAUGAAACACUGUGGAC
rnacentral:lncRNA from 1 species